rnacentral:rRNA from 1 species
UGGGGAAUAUUGGACAAUGGGCGCAAGCCUGAUCCAGCCAUGCCGCGUGAGUGAUGAAGGCCUUAGGGUUGUAAAGCUCUUUCACCGGUGAAGAUAAUGACGGUAACCGGAGAAGAAGCCCCGGCUAACUUCGUGCCAGCAGCCGCGGUAAUACGAAGGGGGCUAGCGUUGUUCGGAUUUACUGGGCGUAAAGCGCACGUAGGCGGAUCGAUCAGUCAGGGGUGAAAUCCCAGGGCUCAACCCUGGAACUGCCUUUGAUACUGUCGAUCUGGAGUAUGGAAGAGGUGAGUGGAAUUCCGAGUGUAGAGGUGAAAUUCGUAGAUAUUCGGAGGAACACCAGUGGCGAAGGCGGCUCACUGGUCCAUUACUGACGCUGAGGUGCGAAAGCGUGGGGAGCAAACAG